AGCAGCACGCAGCAGUGGAUCACUCCCAGGAGCUUUUGUAGCAUGAACGAACAUGAUAUAUUCCAUGAGUUUCCAGCAACUGAAAGAAGUAAGAUUUAAAGAUAAUGGUGUCUCCCAAAGUUAACAUUAGCUUUAGCAAAUGAUGAUGCAUUGCGAAAGUUCAAGCCAUUCUAUUCCGUUUUACGGUAUUCCUACGCCAGCCCCGACGUCCUGGGGUCGUUUUUGCUUGAAGAGAGUCAAGCAAAUAAAGGAUCCUCCCGUUUUCAGCUGCGCAGUGGCAAAGAGACAUUUGGAUGUUUCGAUGGUUUUGCAGUGCUGGUGGCCAAACAGACAAAGAACCCCGUCUCAACCAAGUCGUUCUUUUCUCAGUUGAAAGAGGAGCCGAUAUUUUGGCAGCUUACGGAGCUUUUAUGGACACACUGCAUGCUUCAGGCGGCGGCCGAGGGGUCCAGCCCUGCUCGGAGCAGGACCAGCUUUGAAGCGGGAUCAGGUCAUCCAGCGCCGUGUCCCGCUGUGGAUGGAGGACGUCUCCCUGCGGCCGGGGAUCCCGCGGCUGACGGCCUUCCUGGCGAGGACUCUGCCCUCGUGCCUGUCGGGAUCUCCCGUGCUGCCGCCUGUGCCCGCCGGCACCGCUGGGAAGAGCCUGGCUCUGUCUUUACAGCCUCCCAGCAGGUACCGGGAUGUCUGCCAAGAUGUACCACUUGGUUAUGGGUG